rnacentral:rRNA from 1 species
UACGUAGGGUGCAAGCGUUAAUCGGAAUUACUGGGCGUAAAGCGUGCGCAGGCGGUCUUGCAAGACAGAUGUGAAAUCCCCGGGCUACAACCCUGGGAACUGCAUUUGUGACUGCAAGGCUAGAGUACGGUAGAGGGGGAUGGAAUUCCGCGUGUAGCAGUGAAAUGCGUAGAUAUGCGGAGGAACACCGAUGGCGAAGGCAGUCCCUGUGACCUGUACUGACGCUA